UACGUAGGGGGCAAGCGUUGUCCGGAUUUAUUGGGCGUAAAGAGCGUGUAGGCGGCCAGACAGGUCCGUUGUGAAAACUGGAGGCUUAACCUUCAGACGUCGAUGGAAACCGUGUGGCUAGAGUCCGGAAGAGGAGAGUGGAAUUCCUGGUGUAGCGGUGAAAUGCGCAGAUAUCAGGAAGAACACCCGUGGCUAAGGCGGCUCUCUAGUACGGUACUGACGCUGAGACGCGAAAGCGUGGGGAGCGAACAGGAUUAGAAACCCCCGUAGUCC
rnacentral:rRNA from 1 species